rnacentral:rRNA from 1 species
AGAGUUUGAUCCUGGCUCAGGAUGAACGCUAGCGGCAGGCUUAACACAUGCAAGUCGAGGGGCAGCGGGAGUAGCAAUACUUGCCGGCGACCGGCGCAAGGGUGCGUAACGCGUGAGCAACAUGCCCGUAUCAGGGGGAUAAUCCAGGGAAACUUGGUCUAAUACCCCAUAGUAAUCUUAGGAGGCAUCUUUUAAGAUUUAAAGCUUUGGUGGAUACGGAUUGGCUCGCGUGACAUUAGCUAGAUGGUAGGGUAACGGCCUACCAUGGCUACGAUGUCUAGGGGUUCUGAGAGGAAGAUCCCCCACACUGGAACUGAGACACGGUCCAGACUCCUACGGGAGGCAGCAGUGAGGAAUAUUGGACAAUGGAUGGAAAUCUGAUCCAGCCAUGCCGCGUGCAGGAAGACUGCCCUAUGGGUUGUAAACUGCUUUUGUAUGGGAGCAAUAAGCCCUUCGUGAAGGGUGAUGAGAGUACCAUACGAAUAAGCAUCGGCUAACUCCGUGCCAGCAGCCGCGGUAAUACGGAGGAUGCAAGCGUUAUCCGGAUUUAUUGGGUUUAAAGGGUGCGUAGGCGGUUGGAUAAGUCAGCGGUGAAAGUUUUCUGCUUAACAGGAAAAAUGCCGUUGAUACUGUCUGGCUAGAAUAUGGUUGCUGUGAGUGGAAUGUGUGGUGUAGCGGUGAAAUGCUUAGAUAUCACACAGAAUAUCGAUUGCGAAGGCAGCUCACAAAGCCAUUAUUGACGCUGAGGCACGAAAGUGUGGGGAUCAAACAGGAUUAGAUACCCUGGUAGUCG